rnacentral:sRNA from 1 species
CAGGGCACUGAUUCCAGGCCCUUGACCCCCAGAUCCUCCUGCUUCAAAUCCUCAGGCCCUUGCCCCAGGCCUCAAGGAGAUUCCACACAGCUGCCUAGACAGAGUUGGCUCUGAAAGGUGCUGAGAUCCCAAGCACGGGAGCACCUGACCUGGAGUCAUCUCCAUCUGAUUUGUAAAACGCUCUCUCCCCAGAUACCCGGCUCUUUGCACCCAGCAUCAAGGCCCGGUUCCCAGCAGAGACCUAUGCACUGGUGGGGCAGCAGGUCACCCUGGAGUGCUUCGCCUUUGGGAACCCUGUCCCCCGGAUCAAGUGGCGCAAAGUGGACGGCUCCCUGUCCCCGCAGUGGACCACAGCUGAGCCCACCCUGCAGAUCCCCAGCGUCAGCUUUGAGGAUGAGGGCACCUACGAGUGUGAAGCGGAGAACUCCAAGGGCCGAGACACCGUGCAGGGUCGCAUCAUAGUGCAGGCUCAGCCUGAGUGGCUAAAAGUGAUCUCGGACACAGAGGCUGACAUUGGCUCCAACCUGCGUUGGGGCUGUGCAGCUGCCGGCAAACCCCGGCCUACAGUGCGCUGGCUGCGGAACGGGGAGCCUCUGGCCUCCCAGAACCGGGUGGAGGUGUUGGCCGGGGACCUGCGGUUCUCCAAGCUGAGCCUGGAGGACUCGGGCAUGUACCAGUGUGUGGCAGAGAAUAAGCACGGUACCAUCUACGCCAGUGCCGAGCUAGCCGUGCAAGGUAAGGGGCCCAGGGAGGCAGGGGACAUCCCAAGGACAUGCAUAUGGUGCCUUUCAGAGCUCUGAGUUUAGAUGUUUCCAAACACACACGCACAUACCCUGUGGCAAUUUUCCUUGGUUUUCCAACAGUUUCUAAGUAGGAGAACUCAGAGAUUUAAGAAAGGAGAUGAGACACAGGGUUGACAGCUGCCAGAGGGCAGGGUCUCUGACUUGUCCUAUGUCUGGCACACAGUAAAUGUUUGCUGCAGUGAGUGAAAAAAACAGAAACCAAAUCAAUCAGAUCUGUGUAACCCAACCCUUUCAGCUAUGUGAGCUUUGGCAAGUUACUUAGUGUUUCUGUGUUUCAGUUUCUUGAUUAUAAAAUAUAGGCAAUAAUAGUCCUGCCCUCCUGGGCUGCUGUAUGGAACAAGAAAGAGGUACAGCAUAAAGGGCCUGCCCAUCAUACAGCAGGUGCUCGGGAAAUGUCAGCCAGUGCUAAUAUUUAGUUGUGUGACUUGAGCUCACUGAGCCUCAGUUUCCUCAUCCAUAAAAUGGACACAGUGAUACCCACCACAUCAGGUUUUAGUGAAGCUUUGCUAAGAAGCAUUCAUUCAUUCCUUCAUCCAUUCAACCAAUACUUACUCAACACUUCACAGGGGAUGAAUACAAAAGAUACGGUCUCUGCCUUUAAGUAGCUUACAAUCCAGUAGAAAGGGACAAAUAAACCCCAAAUCAAACAAUUAAAUAAUUUCAGCUAGCCAUCAAAUAUAGUAUAAAGGAAAUCCAGGCAGGGUGCAGUGGCUCAUGCCUGUGUAAUCCCAGCACUUUGGGAGGCAAGGGUGAGUGGAUCGCCUCAAGCUCAGGAGUUCGAGACCAGCCUGGGCGACAUGGUGAAACCCCAUGUCUAUGAAAAAUACAAAAUUUAGCCAGGCAUGGUAGCACACACGUGUAGUCCCAGCUACACAGGAGGCUGAGGCAGGAGAAUCGCUUGAGCCCUGGAGGCAGAGGCUGCAGUUAGCUGAGAUU